rnacentral:rRNA from 1 species
UACGUAGGGGGGCAAGCGUUGUCCGGAAUCAUUGGGCGUAAAGCGCGUGUAGGCGGCCCGAUAAGUCCGCUGUGAAAGUCCAGGGCUCAACCCUGGAAUGCCGGUGGAUACUGUCGGGCUCGAGUCCGGAAGAGGCGAGUGGAAUUCCUGGUGUAGCGGUGAAAUGCGCAGAUAUCAGGAGGAACACCAAUGGCGAAGGCAGCUCGCUGGGACGGUACUGACGCUGAGACGCGAAAGCGUGGGGGAGCAAACAGG